rnacentral:misc_RNA from 1 species
GAUGAAGAACGUAGCGAAAUGCGAUAAGUAGUGUGAAUUGCAGAAUUCAGUGAAUCAUCGAAUCUUUGAACGCACAUUGCGCCCCUUGGUAUUCCAUGGGGCAUGCCUGUUCGAGCGUCAUUUGUACCUUCAAGCCUUGCUUGGUGUUGGGUGUUUGUCUCGCCUCUGCGCGCAGACUCGCCUCAAAACAAUUGGCAGCCGGCGUAUUGAUUUCGGAGCGCAGUACAUCUCGCGCUUUGCACUCAGAACGACGACGUCCAAAAGUACAUUUUUACACUCUUGACCUCGGAUCAGGUAGGGAUACCCGCUGAACUUAAGCAUAUCAAUAAACGGAGGA